AUGGCAAAGUGGUUGUGGCAGGUGAGGGCCGGGGGGAGUUGUGCAGGGUUUCAGGCUCAGUGGAGCCAGCGGGCGGGCGGUUUUUUGGAGCAGUUGGUGGAUAGUAGAACAAAACACGAGGGAAAAUGGGGACAACACAGGCGGGCUGACCUUUUUCCCCUCCUGCCUGCCUGUGUCAGUGUGCAGGAGGUGUGUGUGAGACACAGGACUGCAGGACCAGUGGCUGGGUCUCAGCUGCAGCUCCCGGGAGCCCCCAGCUUGUCCGUAUCCCCCCUCGCCUCAUUUGUAUUCCACUCCAAAAAGCAGCCCUUUCAUGCAUUGCGUAUAUGCCCUUGGGAUGCUUUGUGUGCGUGUGUGUGUUUACACGGAUGACACUGAGCACCUCUUUUUGCUUAUCCUCUCUGGCUUUGCCUUGCUUGUGCUCAUUUUCUGUCUUUCUUCCACUCUGCGUUUCCCCGGGGCUUUCAGCCCUUUGCAUUUACUGAACGCCUAGUGCGUGCCAGGUGGGGUGCUGGGUACGUCCCAGACAUUAUUUUGGUCAGGUCUCACAGUAACCCUGAAGAACGGUGGUGUUUUCCUUACGUCUCCGCAGAAACCAACUGAGAGCAGUUAGGUGAUGUGUCCACCGUCACACAACCAGCAGUUUGUAUGCCCCCAGCACGUUGCGUUCCAAAAUCAGCACAGUUCUGCUAUUCCAACACCCUUAUUUUUUUCUUUACCAUCCUUCUUUGAAAUGAAGAAAUGAUACACACUGGCUUGGCCAUCCCUUAGGAGUGAGGUAAUAACAGCUCUUCACUCCUUACAUGGUGACCCCAGCGAGUACGGUGUGUGUUCAGUGUUUAUGGAGGCGGCACAGCGCCUGGAUCCUGGCUGAUCCCAGCCCUGUGGGAGGCAUCUGUUGACUUUGGGAAGUCAGCCAACACCCCCAUAGGAAAGAAGUCAGAUUCUGUGUGGUGCAGUGAGGGGACAGGAAGAAAUUAGAAGUCUGCGUGCUCUUAAAAUCAUUUAUUCGAACAACACUUGACAUGCCCACCAUAUGCUAGGUGUUAGUCUAGGAUAUAGGCUGGGGUAUGAAAGAGCACAAAGUACAAAAUCAUCUUUCCUUCACUUGGGAAAGAUGCCUGAGAUAAAGCCAUUUAGAGGAGGAAAGGGUUAUUUGGGCUUACAGUGGCAGAGGUUUUAGUCCGUGGUCCUUUGGCCCCAUUGUUUGUUUGUUUUGGUACUGGGGGUUGAAUCCGGGGCCUUCACACUGAGCUGCGUUUUUAGCUCUUAUUUUUUAAUUCUGAGACAAGGUUCCCCUGAAUUGCUCAGGCUUAGCUGAGACUUGAAUCCCAGUGUGCUGGGACUGCAGCAUGUGCUACCGGGGGGUGUGUGGUGGAGCAGAUCUGCUCACCUCAGAGUGGUCCGGCAGGAGGGGAGAAGGGGAGAGGCGUACUGGAGUCUUGGUGUCCCGGUCAGGGGCAUUCCUGCAAUUACUUCCUCCCACCAGGCCCCGCCCCUUCCUUUCUUUGUUUUUUACUUUUGGUUGUUGUUUUGGUUUUUUGGUGGUACAGGUACACUGAACCCAGGAGCACUCUCAUCACUGAGCUAAAAUGCUUCCCUCCCUCCCUCCAUCUGCCCACCACCUCCUGCCCUGCCCUGCCCCGCCUGGAACUUGUGAUCCUUUUGCCUCACCCUCCCUGAAUGUGAGAUUACAAGCAUGUGCCGCUGUGCUUGGCUCUUAAAGGCUCUGCUACUUCCCAGAAGCACCAAGGGCUGGUGACUGAGCCUUUAGUGUGCAGGCCUUUGGGGGACAUUUAAGAUUCAAACCCUAGCAGCAGUCCUUGUCCUUGAGCAGCUUACCGUGCAGCGGCAGCACCAGUGAAGACUAACUCGACAGGGAGGACGGGGCCUUUGCUGAGGAGGGAAACGUAGCAGGGUGGUCGCUGAAGUGCCCUGUAGUCUGUUGUGUGCUAGAGCCAGCUCUGACUAACUUCCCAUUCCACCCUCUAAUAGGCUGAGUGGGCAGCUGGACAAGAACUGGAGCCGGGAGAAGACUUUAACCAGGGAGGAAACCCUGCCCAGAGUGUGAUUCCAAUGCCUUGAGUCUCAGCACCCCCUGUAAGGCACCUGGAGCCUCUCUGCGGGGUCUCACCCUGGGUUACGUGGGUCUGAGGUCAAGGCCUGCACACCUAGGGCCCCCCAUGUUGACCUCAUUAACCCUUACCUGGCACAGUGAGGUCUCAUUUACAUAUAUUUACAUUUAGACCCUCACCCUCAUGGGCUUUUGGCCAACACCGUCCUAAGUUCUAAAACUCCCCGUCCUAUUGGAAAAGGUUAUGUGUGCAGCAGCCAUUCGCCACUCCUCCAAGUUCUGGGAAAACCAAAAGACAAACUCUAGUUGAUUGAUUGUGCCACCCUGAGUAGGAAACACGCAGCUAAAUUGGCUCAGCAGAGUUCUGAGUGUGGAAGACCCGCCCUAGCGGGGAAUCGUCACCAGCAGGGAAACGAAGAAGGCAGGCUCGCUGCUCUCUCUUCAGGGAGCUCGUCUUCACCUUCACCUUGGACAUCAUCUGGCUUCCAGCACAAACCCUUCGGCCUCCUGAUAGGGCCUCACACAGGACACUGCACGGAGCUCCAAGCCUUUGACUGGAACCCCCAGUGCGCAGACAGACCCCCUGCACUCUUCCACACCUGACUCUGGGUGGCCAUUGUAAGCCAGUCUUGCGAAUUUUUAAAUAUUGGUAUGACUUGCAUUAAACCUGUUUCUCUAAUAAGCUCUGACCAAUACAGAAACCAGCCCCACCUCGCUGCAGUUGUCACCUCUGGCUGUGCCCACUUGGAACCCUCGCAAGUGUGCUGUCCUAAGAGACAACCCUUUCUCCAGGCACCAGGCCCUUCGCUGAGUCACGCACUUGGAUCUCUCCCAAGCCUAUUUUGCCUACAACAGACAUUUGCCACCUCUGGCGCUGGCCACCCCUUUUUUGAGAAGGAUACUGUCCUUAAUAAAGUGCUUGCUUAAAGUUGUGUUGUGCUUGCUUCCCAGUAAACUGGCUUGCUGAAUCUGUAACUUUUGACUCAAUUUCUUUGUGGGGAUUUCAGAAAUCUCAGGAUCCAAGAACAGAGACAAUCUGCACAAUCCAAACACAACGCAGAUCACCAGCCCAGACAGAUCCAACAGUCCAUUAUUAUAAGGGCACAAUUUGUUUUUUUAAGUGGCUUUAUUGAAGUACAAUUUACACCCUCUGAACUUCAUAGUAAGAGUACAGCUCAAUGAAUUUGGUCAGCACACAGUUGUCCAACGGUCAGUUCACUCCAGUUGUAACAUUCCCAUCACUCCAUAAAGCUCUUUCCACCAAGAGCACGGUUUUGUUCUCACUGAGGAAGGGAGGUAGUCUUGUGCGUGGCAUGCUGGCCUGUGAGGCCAGAGAAGCAAGCCUACUGCUAGCUGCGCUCUGUCGCCCAGACAGCGAGGUCGCCGCUGCCUCUGCAGCUGUGAGUUGGAGGCAGUGCUUGCUCAGGUUCCUUACGUGCUAAGAUCUUAGGAGUUUAUGUAAGGAAAACCCGAGCAUCUGUGCCAGUUCGACAGGGAGGCCCAGGUUCAAGUCCUGUCACUGGGAGUGUGAGAGAGCUAGUCCCCAUCAUCUCUUUUUCUUUGUCUGCAGAUAAUAGCUACCUCGGUGGAGUGAAGUUAGUUGUCUGGUAUGUGUGAAGCACAGUCAUGUUUGGUGCAAAGUACUUGAUGUUUU
rnacentral:lncRNA from 1 species